CGCAUGGAGCAGACUUGCGAACAUGUUCAUGCCUGAUGGGUUGCCAGGUCCUUCGAUCGGCAGCCCAUCACCCRACUGUCCUCGCGCAAAUGAGUGCGGCUGUUGGGUCCAACCAACCCACGACGCGGCAAGCGUCAAGGAUAACAACGGCGGAGCGACGCCCUUGUUACUCACCCAUUUGUGGCGUGAUGUUCUUGUGGCGCUCGACUCUCAUAAUUGAGUACCGAAAAAAUGACUCUCGGCAACGGAUAUCUCGGCUCUCGCAUCGAUGAAGAACGUAGCAAAAUGCGAUACUUGGUGUGAAUUGCAGAAUCCCGUGAACCAUCGAGUUUUUGAACGCAAGUUGCGCUCGAAGCCGUCAGGCCAAGGGCACGCCUGCCUGGGCGUCACGCAUCGAUUCUCCUUGUGUCGCCCUUUUCCGUUUGAGAAUAGGAGUUGAUUGCGGGGCAGAGUAUGGUCUCCCGUGUGCUGGCGCUCGGAUGACCCAAAUUGGACCCUCGGCGACAAACGCCACGACCAUAGGUGGUUGAUCAUUUGUUCAGCUCACGUGCGGUUGUGCUCUGCGUCAUUUCCGGCAAGGGUGUAUGUACGGACUCUACGGCGCUGC
rnacentral:sRNA from 1 species